AGAGUUUGAUCCUGGCUCAGGAUGAACGCUGGCGGNGUGCCUAAUCACAUGCAAGUCGAGCGAACAGAUAAGGAGCUUGCUCCUUUANCGUUAGCGGCGGACGGGUGAGUAACACGUGGAUAACCUACCCUAUAAGAUUGGGAUAACCUUCGGGAAACCGGAGCUAAUACCGGAUAACAUAUUCAUCCCGCAUGGUUCAAUAGUAAAAGGCGNCUCUUUCUGUCACUUAUAGAUGGAUCCCGCGCCGUCAUUAGCUAGUUGGUAAGGUAACGGCUUACCAAGGCAACGAUACGUAGCCGACCUGAGAGGGUGAUCGGCCACACUGGAACUGAGACACGGUCCAGACUCCCUACGGGAGGCAGCAGUAGGGAAUCUUCCGCAAUGGGCGAAAGCCUGACGGAGCAACGCCGCGUGAGUGAUGAAGGUCUUCGGAUCGUAAAACUCUGUUAUCCAGGGAAGAACAAAUGUGUAAGUAACUGUGCACAUCCUGACGGUACCUGAUCAGAAAGCCCCGGCUAAAGUG
rnacentral:rRNA from 1 species